rnacentral:rRNA from 1 species
GAGCGGAUGAUGGGAGCUUGCUCCCGGAUUCAGCGGCGGACGGGUGAGUAAUGCCUAGGAAUCUGCCUGGUAGUGGGGGACAACGUUUCGAAAGGAACGCUAAUACCGCAUACGUCCUACGGGAGAAAGCAGGGGACCUUCGGGCCUUGCGCUAUCAGAUGAGCCUAGGUCGGAUUAGCUAGUUGGUGGGGUAAAGGCCUACCAAGGCGACGAUCCGUAACUGGUCUGAGAGGAUGAUCAGUCACACUGGAACUGAGACACGGUCCAGACUCCUACGGGAGGCAGCAGUGGGGAAUAUUGGACAAUGGGCGAAAGCCUGAUCCAGCCAUGCCGCGUGUGUGAAGAAGGUCUUCGGAUUGUAAAGCACUUUAAGUUGGGAGGAAGGGCAGUAAGUUAAUACCUUGCUGUUUUGACGUUACCAACAGAAUAAGCAC